rnacentral:rRNA from 1 species
CGGGGGGUAAGGCGUUGUUCGGAAUUACUGGGCGUAAAGGGCUCGUAGGCGGCCAACUAAGUCAGACGUGAAAUCUCUCAGCUUAACUGGGGAACUGCGUCUGAUACUGGAUGGCUUGGAUUCGGGAGAGGGAUGCGGAAUUCCAGGUGUAGCGGUGAAAUGCGUAGAUAUCUGGAGGAACACCGGUGGCGAAGGCGGCAUCCUGGACCGAUAUUGACGCUGAGGAGCGAAAGCCAGGGGAGCAAACGGGAUUAGAUACCCCGGUAGUCCUGGCCCUAAACGAUGAAUGCUUGGUGUAGCGGGUAUCGAUCCCUGCUGUGCCGAAGCUAACGCAUUAAGCAUUCCGCCUGGGGAGUACGGUCGCAAGGCUG